UUGRGUACUGGAAUGAAUGAUUUUACAUUUAAAAUUUUUCUUAAUUUUAAAAUUACAAUUUAGAGGUUAAGUAAGAAUACUUAAAUAUUUUAAAAAGACGAUAAGACCCUAAAAGCUUUAAAUUAUUUUAAUUUAUAAAUAAAAUAAAAUUUAUUAUAAUUUUUUACUGGGGUAGUAAUAUUAUUAAUUUAUUAAUUUAAAAUAUGCAAUUUCAAAUUCCUUAAKAUUAGGAUAUAAAUUAGUUACUUUAGGGAUAACAGCGCGAUAAUGUUUAAGAGAACGUAUCCACAACAUUGAUUGCGACCUCGAUGUUGAAUUAAUAGAUCUAUUUAAAGCAGUUUUUGAAAAAGAGGGUUUGUUCAACCUUUAAU
rnacentral:rRNA from 1 species